UUUACUUAUUUUCGCAUUCGCUCGGACGUCUGUGGAAAAAUAGUUUGAUUGACCUCCGGGGGGCCUGGACGGCCCCCCGAAGCAACGUGGUAGGUAAGCAAGGGUUGGGAGUUGGGGGGUUUCCCCCCCUGAACCCGGUAAUGAUCCUUCCGCAGGUUCACCUACGGAAA
rnacentral:misc_RNA from 1 species